rnacentral:rRNA from 1 species
AUUGAACGCUGGCGGAAUGCUUUACACAUGCAAGUCGAGCGGCAGCGCGGCCUUCGGGCUGGCGGCGAGCGGCGAACGGGUGAGUAAUGCAUCGGAACAUGCCCAGUCGUGGGGGAUAACACUUCGAAAGAAGUGCUAAUACCGCAUACGUCCUGAGGGGGAAAGCGGGGGAUCGCAAGACCUCGCGCGAUUGGAGUGGCCGAUGUCAGAUUAGCUAGUUGGUGGGGUAAAGGCCUACCAAGGCGACGAUCUGUAGCUGGUCUGAGAGGAUGAUCAGCCACACUGGGACUGAGACACGGCCCAGACUCCUACGGGAUGCAGCAGUGGGGAAUUUUGGACAAUGGGGUCAACCCUGAUCCAGCCAUUCCGCGUGAGUGAAGAAGGCCUUCGGGUUGUAAAGCUCUUUCGGCAGGAACGAAACGUUGGGCUCUAACAUAGUCCGCUAAUGACGGUACCUGAAGAAGAAGCACCGGCUAACUACGUG